rnacentral:rRNA from 1 species
GAUGAACGCUGGCGGCGUGCUUAACACAUGCAAGUCGAACGAAGCAUUUAAAAGGAAGUUUUCGGAUGGAAUUUUAGAUGACUUAGUGGCGGACGGGUGAGUAACGCGUGGGUAACCUGCCUCAUACAGGGGGAUAACAGUUGGAAACGACUGCUAAGACCGCAUAAGCCUACAGUCUCGCAUGAGACAGAAGGAAAAGAUUUAUCGGUAUGAGAUGGACCCGCGUCUGAUUAGCUAGUUGGUGAGGUAACGGCCCACCAAGGCGACGAUCAGUAGCCGACUUGAGAGAGUGAUCGGCCACAUUGGGACUGAGACACGGCCCAGACUCCUACGGGAGGCAGCAGUGGGGAAUAUUGCACAAUGGGGGAAACCCUGAUGCAGCGACGCCGCGUGAGUGAAGAAGUAUUUCGGUAUGUAAAGCUCUAUCAGCGGGGAAGAUAAUGACGGUACCUGACUAAGAAGCCCCGGCUAACUACGUGCCAGCCGCCGCGGUAACAC